AGGACGAACGCUGGCGGCGCGCUUCAAGCAUGCAAGUCGAACGAGAUACCCGGGCUUGCCCGGGUGGAGAGUGGCGAACGGGUGAGUAACACGUGAGGAACCUGCCCCGAAGACCGGGAUAACGCCGGGAAACUGGUGCUAAUACCGGAUGCCCUCGCCGGAUCGCAUGGUCUGGCGAAGAAAUGGAUUCCGCUUCGGGAUGGCCUCGCGGCCUAUCAGCUAGUUGGUGGGGUAACGCCCACCAAGGCAGCGACGGGUAGCUGGUCUGAGAGGAUGUCCAGCCACACUGGGACUGAGACACGGCCCAGACUCCUACGGGAGGCAGCAGCUAGGAAUCUUGCGCAAUGGACGAAAGUCUGACGCAGCGACGCCGCGUGCGGGAUGAAGGCCUUAGGGUCGUAAACCGCUUUCAGCAGGGACGAAAUUGACGGUACCUGCAGAAGAAGCCCGGCAACUACGUGCCAGCAGCCGC
rnacentral:rRNA from 1 species